GACGAACGCUGGCGGCGUGCUUAACACAUGCAAGUCGAACGGAAAGGCCCUGCUUGCAGGGUGCUCGAGUGGCGAACGGGUGAGUAACACGUGGGUGAUCUGCCCCUUACUUUGGGAUAAGCCUGGGAAACUGGGUCUAAUACUGGAUAGGACCAUGCUGUAGGUGGUGUGGUGGAAAGAUUUUUUCGGUAAGGGAUGAGCUCGCGGCCUAUCAGCUUGUUGGUGGGGUAAUGGCCUACCAAGGCGUCGACGGGUAGCCGGCCUGAGAGGGUGGACGGCCACAUUGGGACUGAGAUACGGCCCAGACUCCUACGGGAGGCAGCAGUGGGGAAUAUUGCACAAUGGGCGCAAGCCUGAUGCAGCGACGCCGCGUGGGGGAUGAUGGCCUUCGGGUUGUAAACUCCUUUCAGCCAUGACGAAGCCUCUUUUGGGGUGACGGUAGUGGUAGAAGAAGCACCGGCUAACUACGUGCCAGCAGCCGCGGUAAUACGUAGGGUGCGAGCGUUGUCCGGAAUUACUGGGCGUAAAGAGCUCGUAGGUGGUCUGUCGCGUCAUUUGUGAAAGCCCGGUGCUUAACUCCGGGUUGGCAGGUGAUACGGGCAUGACUGGAGUACUGUAGGGGAGACUGGAAUUCCUGGUGUAGCGGUGAAAUGCGCAGAUAUCAGGAGGAACACCGGUGGCGAAGGCGGGUCUCUGGGCAGUAACUGACGCUGAGGAGCGAAAGCAUGGGUAGCGAACAGG
rnacentral:rRNA from 1 species